GGGGGCAUAGCUCAGUUGGGAGAGCAUCGCACUGGCAGUGCGAAGGUCAGGAGUUCAAGUCUCCUUGCCUCCA
rfam:Plesiocystis pacifica SIR-1 1103186006262, whole genome shotgun sequence.